GAUGAAGAACGUAGCGAAAUGCGAUAAGUAAUGUGAAUUGCAGAAUUCAGUGAAUCAUCGAAUCUUUGAACGCACAUUGCGCCCGCCAGCAUUCUGGCGGGCAUGCCUGUUCGAGCGUCAUUUCAACCCUCGAGCCCCCCCGGGGGCCUCGGUGUUGGGGGACGGCACACCAGCCGCCCCCGAAAUGCAGUGGCGACCCCGCCGCAGCCUCCCCUGCGUAGUAGCACACACCUCGCACCGGAGCGCGGAGGCGGUCACGCCGUAAAACGCCCAACUUUCUUAGAGUUGACCUCGGAUCAGGUAGGAAUACCCGCUGAAUUUAAGCAUAUCAAUAAGCGGAGGA
rnacentral:misc_RNA from 1 species